rnacentral:tRNA from 1 species
AAUACAGUAGUUAGAAUAAAAAUAUAAGGUUGUCAGCUUUAAGUUAUGAAAUUCCUCAGAU